UCCGUUGAGUCCAGACGUAUUGUUUUCCUCUACUUAAAGAAUUGUUUAAAAAAAUAAAUAAAUUGUUAAAGGCCAGUCGGUGGCCUACAAUGAGGUGGGCUUCCUGCUGGCCAAGAAGUACUUCAUGGACAACGUCGACACUAUCUACAAGUUGUGAGAUUAGAAAUGAGUGUUAAACUUUAAUUUUCAGCUACUAUGUCCCGACUUUUGCCGCCGCUCUACGAACAGGUCUCCAAUCGCAGGUAAUACAAUGAGUUCAAGGACUUUGUUGCCAGUUCGCAGGAGUCACUGAAGAGAAUGGAUCAGGCUAUCCAGCAGACUCUGGAGAUAAUGCUUACCAAUGUGCAGUGGAAGGAGCGAAACUUUCAUACAUUCACAGGUGCCAUCAAACCACUCCUCCAUGUUCAAACCAUUUCGUAGACGAACAUACCCCAGCUAUAUGAGCCAGCCAGUUUAGAUUAAGGUUAACAAUAUGAAUAUGUGUAUGUUGUAUAUUUCGUAUAUUUAGAUAAGCAUGUUCUAUAAUGCUAAUCAAUAAUAAACAUAAAUGUAAUUGGAA